rnacentral:piRNA from 1 species
UGAAUUUCAGGAUGUGGUAUUUUGGUC